rnacentral:lncRNA from 1 species
GGGGAUUUUGGUGAUAAGGUGGAGCAGGUGCACUGAGUUGUGUGGUUUGGUGAUUGCAGAAGGGCUGCAGGUGGGUGGUUGCUGGCUUAGGGCUGCCUCCGUGGGGGCACUGCCUUGCUGUGGUGCUGGGACACAGGAGUGGAACUUGGCCUUGGCCUUAUGGGCUGGAAGAUUUGAAGCGUGCUGGCUGUGUGCCAGCAGGGAUGAAAGCAGGGCCUCAUGUUGGAGGGGUCACCUGGAGGAGGGGGCUCUGGACCCCUGGCUCACAUCUGCACUGGGACUGGCUCUGCCUUGUACUGGACCACGUCCACCUGCCUGCGAGAUUGGAUUGGCUGCAAGAAUGGGGUCAGCUCAGCCUCCCGGUAGAAUCUUAAUUACAAUUUCUUGUGUACCUGCCGACGUGGAAUCUGAUGGGUCUCUGCCUUUCUCUCCCUUCAAGUACACAGAAAGCUGACCACUGUCGGAUGCUCACGCAGCUUCAGCAGGGUGGCUGGAGAAGAAUUACAACCCAGAGGAACCUCGAGCAUGGUGGUUGGCCACAGUACUGGAAGCUCAAUAUAUGGUUUUUCUCAUCUACCUUGACAAGAAGAGCUCCUUUUUCCUAGGAUAAUACUCUCUCUCUCUCUCUAUAUAUAUAUAUAUAUAUUUUAGUAACAAUCUGACUUAUCUUUCCAACUAACUUUUGAAAGAGAGUGGCCAUCACUACGCUUUCCUCUGAGCAGAGUAAUGUAUCAGCAUGUGUUAGAUGUAAUCUGGGAACGCUUCCCUCCUGGAGGCCUCACGGGGUGAAGUGGGGAAUGUCGACCUUCAGAGCCUCGGUGGAGCAGACGACAUGCCUGGCUGCUCGGCUGGGCCAGGGCUGAGGCAAUCCUGGGUUUGCAAAAGGGUCCAAAACCAGAGGAAACUUUUAAAAUCAAAAAGUGACAGCACGUGUAGUUCAGAGGCCUCUGAGGUGAGGCAAUAAAUGAUGAGUGGUUUCCA